rfam:Rubellimicrobium thermophilum DSM 16684 genomic scaffold R1_scaffold6, whole genome shotgun sequence.
UCGCCGACAGCAAGCUGCCCGACAUGCAGGCGGGCUGGGAACAGGCGAUCUCCAACACGCUGGCGGGGCUUGCCGGCCUCAACAUGGUCUAUGAGGCGG